ensembl:lncRNA
GGGCAUUUAUAACGGGUGGACCCCCGAAAACACUCGAAAUGGAACUACUGGUUAUUCUUUGGUGAGACAAAGCUCCGACGUGUCCGCGGGGGUUCGAGGCAAAGUUCCCCUGUGCUCUGAAAGGACUUGUGCCGCUGCAACAACAGGUGACGAGGACGGCAGAGCAAUUAAAGAUGCUGGCCCGGAUAGAGACAGCGAUCCGGGGAGAAGGAGCGGAGGAGAGGCGAGAGGGUCGACCAAUGAGUAGCACCGCACUUCAACUCCCCUCCCAGGGUGCUGGAGUGAUCCUCCCGGCACCACUGCACCACCUUUAAAAGCCCAUCACGCUCAGCACGCUCCUGCAGGCCCCCCUAAUGGAAGACACAUCGGCAUCUACAGUUCAUUAACACGAGAAGCAAUGAGGUACAUGCCGUCCGAAAGAUGAAAAGUCAGAAUCACGAGCAGCAGAUGCUACGAUGGGAUUUCCCACGUUAGCGCCAUAAGUGGCUCCCCAGUCGGCGACUCUCCCACGCAUGAAGUCGGCGAAGCUGCCGACACUGAGAUCGAUCGCUGUCAACGCGCUGCCAUUCCUUGACCCCCCCUCCCCGGGGGGACGCGAUGGGCCUCCUUGGCUCUGAGUGAGGACCUGCAGACGAGGGACCAGCACUGGUGUGAUGCAGGAGACGGGAGGAGAGUGUGAGAGGAUCUGCAGGUCUUCAUGUCCUCACCUGUCACUUCUCAGUCCCAGGUGCCUCCUGAUGCUCCCAUUGGCUCUGCGAUGCCAAACACUUUGUGAACGAUGGCCCCUGACUCACCGUACCCAAACAUACACUUGAAUGAAUGAAUAGAAGUAAUGUGCUUGAAAAAGCGAUCAUACACAUUGCAUUUAAUACAUUUAAAAUGAAUUAAGGGAUCUUUUGGAGAAACAUUUUUUAAAAGGUGGCAAAGGG